rnacentral:rRNA from 1 species
GCAGUAGCCACGGGAAUACAGAGGGUGCAAGCGUUAAACGGAUUUACUGGGCGUAAAGGGCGCGUAGGUGGUUAUCUAAGUGAGAUGUGAAAGCCCCGGGCUUAACCUGGGAACUGCAUCUUAUACUGGGUAACUGGAGUGCAGUAGAGGGUAGUGGAAUUUCCGGUGUAGCGGUGAAAUGCGUAGAUAUCGGAAGGAACACCAGUGGCGAAGGCGGCUACCUGGACUGAGACUGACACUGAGGCGCGAGAGCGUGGGGAGCAAACAGGAUUAGAUACCCCCGUAGUCCCUGUCUCUUAUAC